rnacentral:rRNA from 1 species
UACGGGGGGAGCAAGCGUUGUUCGGAUUUACUGGGCGUAAAGGGCGCGUAGGCGGCCACCGCAAGUCAAUUGUGAAAUCUCCGGGCUUAACUCGGAAAGGUCAACUGAUACUGCGGGGCUAGAGUGCGGAAGGGGCAACUGGAAUUCUCGGUGUAGCGGUGAAAUGCGUAGAUAUCGAGAGGAACACCGGCGGCGAAGGCGGGUUGCUGGGCCGACACUGACGCUGAUGCGCGAAAGCCAGGGGAGCGAACGGG